CCCAUUGGGUUCCUUAUCUUAGCCAGCUGUAGGUGCAGGUGCAAGUUGACCUAACCUGAUUAGAAUACCUCUAAUCCAAUUUCGGUUCAAUUUAGUGUUAAACCUGACUUAGCAAUCAGAACCUUUCUGAUGCUUUGAUCUAAUCAAACUCUUUGAUCUGAUCAACCCAAAAGACAUGAUUGACGUCUAGCAACGUAUCAUGUCUACCCGAAAGAUGAGGAAUGUAUUGGACAAAUCCAAACAUACCCUUCAGUGGCAAGUUACCGUGCAAUUCAAUCCCUCAGUCAUACUACAUCCUGAAUAAGUGCAUGAGUAUGGAUCAAUAUCAAACUCAAUCACUUAUUCAUGUCUCUCUCA
rnacentral:lncRNA from 1 species